rnacentral:rRNA from 1 species
CGGAGGGAGCUAGCGUUGUUCGGAAUUACUGGGCGUAAAGCGCACGUAGGCGGCUUUGUAAGUUAGAGGUGAAAGCCUGGAGCUCAACUCCAGAAUUGCCUUUAAGACUGCAUCGCUCGAAUCCGGGAGAGGUGAGUGGAAUUCCGAGUGUAGAGGUGAAAUUCGUAGAUAUUCGGAAGAACACCAGUGGCGAAGGCGGCUCACUGGACCGGUAUUGACGCUGAGGUGCGAAAGCGUGGGGGAGCAAACAGGAUU